AGGGGUUGCCAUCCAGCAGAGCCGGAGGAGACGAGCCCCCCAAAGGGGUUGCCAUCCAGCAGAGCCGGAGGAGACGAGCCCCCCAAAGGGGUUGCCAUCCAGCAGAGCCGGAGGAGACGAGCCCCCCAAAGGGGUUGCCAUCCAGCAGAGCCGGAGGAGACGAGCCCCCCAAAGGGGUUGCCAUCCAGCAGAGCCGGAGGAGACGAGCCCCCCAAAGGGGUUGCCAUCCAGCAGAGCCGGAGGAGACGAGCCCCCCAAAGGGGUUGCCAUCCAGCAGAGCCGGAGGAGACGAGCCCCCCAAAGGGGUUGCCAUCCAGCAGAGCCGGAGGAGACGAGCCCCCCAAAGGGGUUGCCAUCCAGCAGAGCCGGAGGAGACGAGC